rnacentral:tRNA from 1 species
GGUGGAUGUAGCCAAGUGGAUCAAGG